GACGAACGCUGGCGGCGUGCUUAACACAUGCAAGUCGAGCGGUAAGGCCCUUUCGGGGGUACACGAGCGGCGAACGGGUGAGUAAUACAUCGGAACGUGUCCUUAAGUGGGGGGAUAGCUCGGCGAAAGCCGGAUUAAUACCGCAUAAGCUCUGAGGAGGAAAGGCGGGGGCUCCGUAAGGACCUCGCGCUGUUGGAGCGGCCGAUGUCGGAUUAGCUAGGUUGGGUAGGGGUAAACGGCCCCAACCAAGGCGACGAUCCGUAGCUGGUCUGA
rnacentral:rRNA from 1 species